UGGGGAAUAUUGCACAAUGGGGGAAACCCUGAUGCAGCGACGCCGCGUGAGCGAUGAAGUAUUUCGGUAUGUAAAGCUCUAUCAGCAGGGAAGAUAAUGACGGUACCUGACUAAGAAGCUCCGGCUAAAUACGUGCCAGCAGCCGCGGUAAUACGUAUGGAGCAAGCGUUAUCCGGAUUUACUGGGUGUAAAGGGAGCGUAGGCGGUCCUGCAAGUCUGAUGUGAAAACCCGGGGCUCAACCCCGGGACUGCAUUGGAAACUGUAGGACUAGAGUGUCGGAGGGGUAAGUGGAAUUCCUAGUGUAGCGGUGAAAUGCGUAGAUAUUAGGGGGAACACCAGUGGCGAAGGCGGCUUACUGGACGACCACUGACGCUGAGGCUCGAAAGCGUGGGGAGCAAACAGG
rnacentral:rRNA from 1 species